UGGGGAAUUUUGGACAAUGGGGGCAACCCUGAUCCAGCCAUCCCGCGUGUGCGAUGAAGGCCUUCGGGUUGUAAAGCACUUUUGGCAGGGAAGAAACAGCCUGGGCUAAUAUCCCGGGCGACUGACGGUACCUGCAGAAUAAGCACCGGCUAACUACGUGCCAGCAGCCGCGGUAAUACGUAGGGUGCAAGCGUUAAUCGGAAUUACUGGGCGUAAAGCGUGCGCAGGCGGUUCGGAAAGAAAGGUGUGAAAUCCCAGGGCUUAACCUUGGAACUGCACUUUUAACUACCGGGCUAGAGUACGUCAGAGGGGGGUAGGAUUCCACGUGUAGCAGUGAAAUGCGUAGAGAUGUGGAGGAAUACCGAUGGCGAAGGCAGCCCCCUGGGAUGAUACUGACGCUCAUGCACGAAAUCGUGGGGAGCAAACA
rnacentral:rRNA from 1 species